rnacentral:rRNA from 1 species
AUUGAACGCUGGCGACAUGCCUUACACAUGCAAGUCGAACGGCAGCACGGGUGCUUGCACCUGGUGGCGAGUGGCGAACGGGUGAGUAAUACAUCGGAACAUGUCCUGUAGUGGGGGAUAGCCCGGCGAAAGCCGGAUUAAUACCGCAUACGAUCUACGGAUGAAAGCGGGGGACCUUCGGGCCUCGCGCUAUAGGGUUGGCCGAUGGCUGAUUAGCUAGUUGGUGGGGUAAAGGCCUACCAAGGCGACGAUCAGUAGCUGGUCUGAGAGGACGACCAGCCACACUGGGACUGAGACACGGCCCAGACUCCUACGGGAGGCAGCAGUGGGGAAUGUUGGACAAUGGGCGAAAGCCUGAUCCAGCAAUGCCGCGUGUGUGAAGAAGGCCUUCGGGUUGUAAAGCACUUUUGUCCGGAAAGAAAUCCUUGGCCCUAAUACGGUCGGGGGAUGACGGUACCGGAAGAAUAAGCACCGGCUAACUACGUG